rnacentral:rRNA from 1 species
GCGGCAGGCCUAAUACAUGCAAGUCGAGGGGUAGAGGAGAGCUUGCUUUCCUUGAGACCGGCGCACGGGUGCGUAACGCGUAUGCAACCUACCUUUAUCUGGGGGAUAGCCUUUCGAAAGGGAGAUUAAUACCGCAUAAGACAGUAGCUGGGCAUCCAGCAGCUGUUAAAGAUUUAUCGAUGUAAGCUGGGCAUGCGUCCAAUUAGCUAGUUGGUGAGGUAACGGCUCACCAAGGCAAUGAUUGGUAGGGGAACUGAGAGGUCAAUCCCCCACACUGGCACUGAGAUACGGGCCAGACUCCUACGGGAGGCAGCAGUAGGGAAUAUUGGGCAAUGGACGCAAGUCUGACCCAGCCAUGCCGCGUGCAGGAUGAAGGCGUUAUGCGUUGUAAACUGCUUUUAUACAGGAAGAAACGACUCUUGCGAGAGGCAUUGACGGUACUGUAUGAAUAAGCACCGGCUAACUCCGUGCCAGCCGCCGCGGUAAUAC